rnacentral:tRNA from 1 species
GGCGAGGUACUCAAGUCUGGCCCAAGAGGCAUGCCUGGAAAGCAUGUGUGCACCUGCACUCGAGGGUUCAAAUCCCUCUCUCGCCA